AGUCCGCCUCAGGAUGGCUGCGGGUCGUGCCUCGCCUCGCGGCUGCUGCCCGAGGUUUCAGCCCUCUCUCCUUCCUCAGUCCGCCCUCCGACGGCUACCUGAGCCCGGUCGCAGGGUGGGGAGGCGAGGCUGUCUUCCGUGGCAGGUGCCCGACGAGGAGUCCUGCCCGUACCCUCAGCUCGGCCAGCCCACGGGGCUGCUUUUGAGGUUUUAAAGGUUUGGGUGGUGUGGCCCUCAGUGGCUGUGGAGUCUCCUGCGGUGCUAGAGUUCGCAUUGGUGUACAUCUGGUUAUUCGUCAUGCACGGCAUACCUGGUGGCCGACAGGCCAGGCUCUUGAGGGAAGAAGCAGUGACUGACUGACAUCACCAGCUGAAUCAAAGGGAGAAAUAUGGCAAGCCACCAUGAGCAGGCUGCAAGCCAUGCAGGACAAUGACCAGGGAGAACUCUGUGCCCAGUCCCUGUGGGCACAUGCUGACCCAUCCAGGAGGAUGAAAAAAUACAGAAAAGUUUCCAAGAAUUGCUGCCUCCAGUACAUAAUGGUACAGCAAAAGACAAAAUAAACAAAAACCAAAAAUGAGACACCAAAUUCCCAGUGCAAGACCCCAUAAUGAACAAAGAAUGUCAAUGAUGGUGAAUUCUCUAGACUUACAAUGGGAUAGACAUGAAUUUAUUUCAAUGUAAUGUGCUUCAUUUUGGUGAUAAAACACCAAGCCAGAUUUUCAUUGUUGGCAUUACGUUUGUGUGUUGACUUGGUACAUAAUGCCAACAAUGAAAAUCUGUGAAAUUGAAUCAAUCAAUGAAAGUCUCUCAAAUUUUAUGUUUGACUUCUCUGACCUGCAUAGAAGUACACUGCUGUGUGCAAUGUGUUGGAGAGUAGCCUCAAAGUUGAAAUUCCAGGCUUUGCUUUUGAAGAGAGAGAUUGUGGUGCUUCAGUAUGACAGGGACUGCUAUUAGAAGCACAAAGGUAAGGAAAAUGAUUCCUCAAAAUGUUCCUGAACCUUUAUACAAGAUCUGUUUUAAAAAAGUUACCCACUUUUCCAAGAUAUUUCCAAUACUUUUUCAUGUGUCCAAAUCCACAUAUUUUUCUACAGAGAGCUGUUCAGUUUUUCACAGCUCAGCAUGUUCAGAUCCAGUUACUAAUGAUCUCCACCUCAGCAAGCCAAAUUGCAACAGCUGUGCCUAAUCAUUUUAAUGCUCUCUAGUGUUGACUUGGAUUAUAGCAUGUUAUUUCUGUUCACUUCUUCAGCUCUACUAGCUAUUACUAAACAACUUCUAGCACUUGCAAAAUGCAAAACAUUAUGCAAAGACGUUUAUAUGGGUCAUGAGUUUUAACUGAAUGGUAGAUCCCAUUCAUAUUUUUUUAUUUACUCAACAUUUUUCAGGAUCAAACUGCGAUCAAAUCAAAAAAAAAGAUGAAAUGAUUUAAGAAGAAGCAUUAGCAAGCAAUUUAUUUAAAUAUCACACCUGGAUCAUCUCUCUCCUCCCCCAGAUGUCAGAGAUCUCUGGCAGAGAUGUAGCUGGUGAUAUACUGCCUCUGAAUCUUUCUGUCUCUGGAUCCCAUCACAAGACAACAUCCAGUGACAGCAGCCUGUAUCGAAAUGUCACAUAUGUCUUACAGUCACGCUCAUGUUUCUGGACUGGAUUAAAAUAAUUAUGUGGGGAACAGAGCUAGCGGACAGCAGUCCAUAUUUUUCUGCAGUCUAGCUGCAAGUGGCAGGUUGUAAUGGCAGGUGCAUGCUUGGGAUUAACAGAUAAAGGUAAUGUGUUAACGCAUCAAUCCCUAUAAAAUUGUUGCCUUGCUAGAUCAAGCAAGCUGUCUCCCUGUGAAAGCAGUUACUUCAGUGAAAGAAGCUAUAUGAGAUGUUUUGCCGACAGAAAACAUGCCAAUUGCAAAUCUUACCUCCCCACACCUCCAGCCAAUAUUACUAAAACAUGGAUCUGUCAUAUUGGCAACAUUAGUAAGGUGUUUUUUUUUUUUUUAUGUCUCACACCUCCUCACCUCUAAAUAACACUUGGGACAAGUUUGUUUGCUUCCUGCAUAUGCAAAAUGAUUAAUCCUCACCUAGUGGAAAAAAAAAAAAAAAAAAAGAAGAAGGAGGAGAGGGCACAAGCAAACCAGCAUGUAAACACUGAUAGAUUUCAUUUAUUUUCAUUAUAGUCAAGUUUUCACUCCUUCCCCCUGAAAAGUUUUUUUUUCUUUCUGAGCUGGUAGUGAGAGGGUGCAUUAAACACAUUAAACAUGAAGAGGUGGUUAGCUUUACCUGUUAGCUUGAUCAUGUCAGUAAUACCUUCCUUGAAUAGCUACCACAUUGCUUCAUCCUACCCUCAGUAGUUCUAACCUCAUUUUAAAUGUUGUUUGUGCCUGAGAUUGGUUCAAUAAACCACUGCUGCAAGAGCAGGUCUUUUCUCUCUUGCCAUAAAAUGCAGCUGCAAAAGCAGACACUGAGAAGUGCAGCACUUCCUGACUACAAAGUUGGUUGCACAGAAAUGGCACAUUCAGUAAGAUUUCAGCUGUCAAUGUAUUGGUAUAAGAGUCCUGCAGUUAUGUAGUGGUUUUCUAAUUUUUGGUGUGGGUGGGCUCUGCAGGAGCAGUUUACUAUUUUUGCCAUUGUACCAGGCUGACAGACCCUUUAGCCAGCAGAGGUGUGACACCAGCUCUGUGAGCUUUAAAGAAGGAAAAAUUAUGAAUGCUUCAUUUGCUGUGAAAAGAUGGUAUUUACUUUACUUGGUAUUUGUUUUACUUAUAGUAAGUAUUAUGCAGUGCAGGAAUUGACUUGUUAAUCACAUCUAAAUACGUAGCAGAGGUAUGUAUUUGUAGGCUUGCUGAAGCACUUGCAGAGGAUCAAUAUGUGUGGGAUACGUAUGCACAUGGAGUGGUAGUGUUUUCAGACAUGCUUAGACAACAUAAAAAUACUUUUCAAAGGCAACUAUCAGCACCUUAUCUCAUUACUAAGAAGUCAAGAGAUCUAUUUGAUUUGUAAAGUGUUUUCAUUUAAGGGUUUCAUAUUAACAGCCUUUCAUGUAUUUGGUUUUCUUUUUUUGGUAUUUGCAUGCAAGCAAUUGAAGUUGCAUAAUGCUGCAAAAUAUUGUCCUUAAAAAUUCAGUCAAAGACAUUUAAAUUAUUUGUUUUGGAUAAAUGUUUCACCAGCUGACUUGUACUUACCCAUUUUUGUGUUGUUCUUGCUGUGAAACUUUAUAUGUAAAAACAUGGACACUGGUUUUCUGUGACAUCAGGCUAGUGCUGCAUCAGUUUGCACAGAAAUACAAGACCCAGAUUCAGACUGGAACAGAAGGUUUCAGGGGGCUUAGUAUGAACAAUUUGACUUCCCAGAGUCACAAGUGGCUGAGUAACUCUGUGGGUUUAACAGCAUGCUAUAUAUCUAUAAAAAAAAAAAUAUUAUGGCACUGAGGAAAAUACAGACAUCCCUUGUACUGGUUAUGCUUUCUUCCAUCCUUAAUAUGUCUCAAGUAAAAAGCAUGAUUUUGUGAGUCUUGA